CCCAGACUCCUACGGGAGGCAGCAGUAAGGGAUAUUGGUCAAUGGGGGAAACCCUGAACCAGCAACGCCGCGUGAGGGAAGACGGUUUUCGGAUUGUAAACCUCUGUCCUCUGUGAAGAUGAUGACGGUAGCAGAGGAGGAAGCUCCGGCUAACUACGUGCCAGCAGCCGCGGUAAUACGUAGGUGGCAAGCGUUAUCCGGAUUUAUUGGGUGUAAAGGGCGUGUAGGCGGGAAAGCAAGUCAGAUGUGAAAACUAUGGGCUCAACCCAUAGCCUGCAUUUGAAACUGUUUUUCUUGAGUGCUGGAGAGGCAAUCGGAAUUCCGUGUGUAGCGGUGAAAUGCGUAGAUAUACGGAGGAACACCAGUGGCGAAGGCGGAUUGCUGGACAGUAACUGACGCUGAGGCGCGAAAGCGUGGGGAGCAAACAGGAUUAGAUACCCGUGUAG
rnacentral:rRNA from 1 species